rfam:Crassostrea gigas strain 05x7-T-G4-1.051#20 contig18192, whole genome shotgun sequence.
CAAACGGCCGUUUUCACGGCCACCAAAUUUUUCGAAAAAGUUGCCU